rnacentral:rRNA from 1 species
AUUGAACGCUGGCGGCAGGCCUAACACAUGCAAGUCGAACGGUAGCACAGAGAGCUUGCUCUCGGGUGACGAGUGGCGGACGGGUGAGUAACGUCUGGGAAACUGCCCGAUGGAGGGAGAUAACUACUGGAAACGGUAGCUAAUACCGCAUAACGUCGCAAGACCAAAAUGGGGGACCUUCGGGCCUCACACCAUCGGAUGUGCCCAGAUGGGAUUAGCUAGUAGGUGGGGUAAUGGCUCACCUAGGCGACGAUCCCCAGCUGGUCUGAGAGGAUGACCAGCCACACUGGAACUGAGACACGGUCCAGACUCCUACGGGAGGCAGCAGUGGGGAAUAUUGCACAAUGGGCGCAAGCCUGAUGCAGCCAUGCCGCGUGUAUGAAGAAGGCCUUCGGGUUGUAAAGUACUUUCAGCGGGGAGGAAGGCGGUGAAGUUAAUAGCUUCACCGAUUGACGUUACCCGCAGAAGAAGCACCGGCUAACUCCGUGCCAGCCGCCGCCGUAA